GACGAUCCAUCCCAGAGGCUAGAAUUCUGGUUGCAAACCCACCAUCAACGUUCGAUUUUCUUUCCCCCACUAUUGUAGUGAUUUCUUUCAUCACAUCUAAGGGUCCAAUAACUCACUACAGGUAUGAUUUGGUGUAGUAAGAUGCAAAUGAAACAAUUGAAAAUAGAAUGCCUACUUUAAAAUUUUGAAAUUUUGAAAUGAAGUUUAAAAAUUUGUUGAUUUUUGUGGUAUUUACCCCUGGAUUGACAUGAAGGAACUGUAAACAUUUUGUAUUUUUAAUGAUCCAUCAUUUCCCUCAUUUAUUGGAUAUUAAACACCAUCUCAUAACCGUCCAUUUUUCCUAACCGUUUAUAUUUCGUAAUUCCUUUGAUGGGAAGGAGUUUAUAAAGGGAAGUAGUGGUAUUGGUCCCCGAGUCGAGACUUUCAUGAAAUUGUACUAUCGCAGAGACUUCUUGAAGACUUGGAAGCACCAAACACAAUCUGAAAUUUGGUAUUUUGAAGAUCAAUGGCUAGAGGUUAGUUUCUGUUAUUUAUUUUCUGCAUUUGAUCUAUAUGUUGCUUGUUUAUCCACACAUGAUAGAUCAAAAUAAAGUCUAACAGUUGGUAUCAGAGUCAUAUUUGCCUCUGCCUUGCUCGCUAAGUUCUCUGCAAUUUUUCUAGAAAUUUUCAAUAAUUUUUCCAGAGAUUUCAAAAUCUUAUUUCAUAGUUCUUGAUGGAAAUAAGGAUAGGAAUCAUUAGGAAAUUAGAUUUCUAACAUUUUUGGGAUUUGAAACGUAAUUUUUGGUGUCCGGAAGAUAGAGAAACCGUCAGGUUUUUCAUUGGGUUGAAACCAGGUCAAAAUGACCCAGUUGACGACAAACUGUAGAAAGUAAUAAUUAAAAAAAAACAAAAGGCUUUUUCCUUGAACUCACGGGCCUACUUAUGUGAAAUAAGGCUACUGUUGUACUGUUAAGUUUGGCAAAGAUCAAUUCUGCCAAUUUGUUACUGCACGUGAUUACCAAAUAGUGAGUUGGUAAAAAAUGGUGCAGAUUUCUAGGUCAUUUUCAUAACAAUUUGGUUAUGUUAUCAUUUUGGAAUAUUUUAAUAACAUUUUUGACUAUUGAACAUUGACACGGCCGGAAUUUUUGAGUUCUUAUAUCACUGUGGACCCAUGUGCUGGAAGUUAAUGGGAAUUGUUUAUUGACUUUGUUUUUGUGUGCUAAAGCUAUUUAAUUUUAUUAUUUUGUAUAUAUAAUUUUCUUGUUUUGUUAUACAUGCAAUAUUGAGAUAAAUAAUUUAGUACAUAAAAAUUUUAAUUUUAGUGCCCAUAUUGCUUUUGGGUUUGUGCAAUUUAUACGAGCACAUUUUGUGAAUUAUAUUUAUAAUGUAGAGUGAUCCAUAUAAUUUUAAUUAAUUAGGGAGUAGUCACAGCAUCAUUAAUUAUGUAAAAUUAUAUAUUAAAGUAUAGAAUCACAUAUUUGGGUAAAGACAUUAAUUAUGGUUGAUCAUAUUUAAUAUAGUUAAUUUUAUCCCACAGAAAUUUUUAUUUUUAUGAUCAACUACUAUAAAAUAUUAAAUUACUUUCCUAAUUACCCACAAGAAUUGGGAAUUGAAACAUGGUUUAAUAGUUUUAUCAUAAAGUUUGUAUAUUAAUCUAAUUGAGUAAGACUUUAGCUCACAGGCAAUUUCUAUGUCACUAGAUUCAUAUUUUGAAGCAUAAUUUUACAUUGGUAAAAUGUAAUUUGAUAGUUUUAUCAUAAAGUUUAUACAUGGAUCUAAUUGAGUAGGACUUUAGCCCACAAACAAGUUCUAUAUCACUAGAUUCAUAUUUUGAAGCAUGAUUUUGCUCGUUAAAAUGUGAUUUGAUAAUUCUAUCAUAAGGUAUAAUUGAAUAUACUUGAAUUAAAAAUUUAACCCUUAGGCAAUUUUUAUGUCAUUAUAUUCAAUUUUAGCAUGACUCACAUUGGUAAAACAAGCAAUCUACUCAAUAAAAAGAAUGAAUUUUAAGACAAGCAUUAUGCAGCUUCACAAUCUGCGAAUUUCUCUGAUAUUAAAUGUGAUGUUCCCGAACUAAAGGGUGAAAACUAUAAAGUCUGGAAGGAGAGAAUUCUCUUUCAUUUGGGAUAGAUGGACAUUGACUAUGUCAUCAGGAAAGACGAACAAAAAAAAUAACUCUGACCAGCACUUCAGAUGAAAUUGCUCUUUAUGAACGAUGGAAGCGAUCCAAUCACCUUAGUGUGAUAUUCAUAAAGAACAAGAUUUCUGCUGGUAUUCGUGGUUCUGUCGAAGAGCAUAAAAAUGUUAAGGCAUUGCUGAAAGCUAUUGAUGAGCAAUUUGAGACUUAAGAUAAAGCACUUGCCAACACUUUGAUUGUGAAGUUUUCAUCCAUGAGGAUCACUACUCAGAGAGGUGUGCAUGAGCACAUCAUGCAAAUGAGGGACAUUGCGGCUCAAUUGAAGACUCUUGAGGUUGAUAUGUCUGAGUCUUUCCUUGUGCAAUAUAUAUUUUAAACACCCUUCUACAUCAAUGUGGACUCUUCAAGAUAUCCUAUAACACACAUAUGGAUAAAUGGUCAAUUAAUGAACUUCUUACCACGUGUGUUCAGGAAGAAGGGAGAUUAACAAAUGGAAACGGGUGAAAGUGCAUUGAUGGAAAUGCAAGGAAAUGACGAAAAACAAGCCAAAAGAAAAGAGAAAGGAAAAAUACCUCCCCAAAGUAGAAUACAAAAAAGGAAUCCAAGUGUUUUUUCUUUAAAAAGAAGUGACACAUAAAGAAGGAUUACAUGAAGUUCCAAAAAUGUCUUGAGAAGAAAUGUAAAUCAAUCUCACUUAUCUGUUAUAGCGACCGAAAAAAAAUAAUAAAAAUAAAUCUUGUGCCUCGUUUUAAAAGAAAAAUUCCUUGUAAAACCCAAAAAUGGUUUGAGUUAUAUUAUUGCGUUGCUACGACCCUUCCUAAGAAUUUAACUAAAGUUUUGGUCACGAUAGUAAAAUUAUGUGCACUUGUUUUAAACUUUUUAUGAGGUGUCGAAAUCUCUUUUAAACGAUAAAUAUUUAUUUUGACGACACUUCUUAAUAGUCCAAGUUAAAGUUUUGCUCACUAUAGUAAUGUUGGCUCACUUGUCUAAAGAUUUUCGUAAGACAUCGAACUCAAAUUUAAACCCCAAAUUUCCUAUUUUGAGCUAGCCGUGCCGAGUUAUUCUAAUAAAAUUAAAGUGUUAUCUUUGUGUGUGUGUGUGUGUGUGUGUGUUUGUGUAUACACACAUAAUGACUUUCUAGGAAUAUGUACGGUAAUGGUGGGAAGGAAAGGAAUAUGUUUAAUAUAAUUCAUAAAACCUAAUGAUCCUCAUUAAUCUUGAUGAUAAAUGAAAUUAUUAACAUUAUCAAUUCACUUUUAACCCGCAAGGCAUUUUUGAAAUGAAUGUUAUGUGUAUAAUGACUAUUUGGGUUUGCAUAUAUUUAGGUGCCAUAACCUAACCAUCCCCUAUCAUGUAAAAACCAAUUAUGUUAGUUAUAAAAAAAGAAAAACAAAGAAAAGAAACUGAUGCCUUUUCAUUUGAAUAUAGCCUACACGUUUUUAACCCCAUUUUAUACCCCUAAUUAACAUCCCACUUAACCUUUUGCUUUUACUCACUUUUUGGUUACUUGCCAUCACCCUUUUUGCAUUUGAAAAACAAUCCCUAUAUCUUCUAUAACCUCUAAAUUCUCUCCCUAUUAUACUUAUACAUAAAAUCAUUUUACUCUUUUUCCCAUAGACUAAAUUUGAAAAUUUUCUAAGAAGAGGCAAAGAGUACGCUGAAUUUUAUAACUUAUUGAACGUAAAAAGGAUAUUUAAACUCCAAGCUAAGGUAGGGGUGUUCUUGGCACUUUUGUAAGUGGUAUAAGAAUUAUUUGUUUUCGUUUUGCAUCAAACGUAUGAUUGUGUCACUCAUGAAGGAGACAUCAUUUGGUGGCUCAACUAAGAGAAAGAGAUUGAAGGUGACACUAUUAUUGUCUUGCUCAUGAAGGAGGCAUCGUUUGGUGGCUCAAAUAAGAGAAAUAGAUUGAAGGUGACACUAUUAUUGUGUUACUCAUGAAGGAGACACCGUUUGGUGGUCCAAAUAAGAGAAAGAAAUUGACGGAGACAUGAAUAAAUCAAAGUUUGCAUUUCUGAAAACAUAUAUGCAUUUUAUCAUUUACUCUAGUGUCUUCUUACUGAGUAUUAUUUGUAAUACUCACACCCACUAUAAUCUCACAGGUUGAUUUGAGGCAUGGCGACGGUUUGACAUAGUGUCAAGUGCUCGGCUAUCUGAAAAACUUUCAACUUUCUAGUAAAAUUUCCAAUUUAUGUAAACGCAUUAUGAAUAAUUAGAUGACAAUUUUAAAAAAUUUUAAACAUCUGUUUCGUUCAGUUUUAUAUGCUAUUCAUGUCAACCAUAAUUUGGAAACUUUGGAAUGACUAUGAUCAAAGUUUAUUUCCUGCUGAUUACAAUUUCAGACUCUAUCUUCCAUUUGAAAAUAGUAUAAUUUGGGCUACGUUGCAUAUUUUUGAGUGAAAUCAGUGGCAUUUGAAAGGUCUAUGAGUCUUCUAAUAGUGGCUUUUGUAAUUUCUCAAAAAUAUUAUAUGAAAAAAAGCUAUGCCUGUUUUAGUAAAACUGCAUCGUGUCGAAUCCGUUUUUCUGUUUAGCAUAUUCGAGCAAUAUUUUCUUGCUUCAAACAUUAUCUUCGAGACCCCAAAUUUUUAUAUGUAGUACAUAUAUGAAUGCCUUAGUUUCUUUUAAAAUUUCAUAAUUUUUAGUCAUUGUUUACUAGACCAAACAUAUUUUUUCUUUCCACUGCUGCGUAAACCGUGUUUGCUGUAUUUUUCCCAAAUAUUUUCCAGAAAUCAAAUUUUGCCAUAAUUGUCUAAGUUUACGUGGACAAAUGACUUAUUGUUUUCCAUAUGUUUCAAAAUCAAAAAACUUUCUAAUUUACAAAUUAUUUUGGUUAACAUCAAAUGGGCCGAACCAAAGAAAGAACGAUUAUUUUUAAAGUUUCGGGUUCUGAGAGUUCGGGGCAUCACAUCUGUUAUGAAUUUAAUUUGGUUGAUUUUAUUUCUAACACAUGGUGGAUUGAUUCCGGUUCUACGAUCUAUAUUUCGAAUACCUUACAGGGUAUGCGAAACCUAAUGAAACCAGUAGAAGUUGAGCAAUGCAUUUAUUCAGGAAACAAGAUGCGCUCACAUGUGGAGGCUGUUGUAACAUGCAGCUUAAUCUUAAUCAGUGAUUUUAUUUUGAAUUUAAAAAAGACAUUUUAUAUUCCAAGUUCCUCUACGAACUUGAUUUCAGUUUCAAGACUUGUAUCUUUAGGUUAUUCCUUUAAUUUCUCAAAAAAAAAAAAAAGAUCUUUCAAUUUAUUUUAUAAAUAUGAUCUUAUUGGGAAUUGUACAUCGUCUGAUGGCCUUUUCUCCAUUAAUCCGCAAAAUAAUACUACUCACAAUGCUAUGCAUGUUCACACUGGUAUGAAACGAUGUGUUAUGAAUAAGAACUCAUCUAUGAAGUGGUACCAGAGAUUAGGACAUAUCUCCAUAGAAUGAGUUAAGAAAUUAGUAGAUAAUGGAGUUAGUACUUUGGAUUUUACUAAUUUCGACACUUGUAUGGACUACGUUAAGGGAAAACAGACCAACAAGUCCAAGGAAGGUGCUAAGAGGAGUACAUACAUAUUAGAGAUCAUACAUUCAGAUAUUUGUAGUCCAGAUAUGGACUCGUAUGGUUCAAAAUACUUCAUCUCCUUCAUUGAUGAUUAUUCAUGAUACAUGUAUAUCUACUUACUUCACAAUAAGAACGAAGCACUAAGUACCUUUAAAAUUCUUAAGGCCGAAGUAGAGAAACAAUAUGAAAGACAAAUUAAGAUCGUGAGAACAGAUAGAGAUAGAGAAUAUUAUGGUAGAUACACUGAGGAUGGAUAAGCAUCUGGUCCAUUUGCGAAGUUUUUUCAAGAUUAUGGGAUAGUUGCCCAAUAUAGCAUGCCUGGUUUCCCGAACCAAAAUGGUGUAGCAGAAAGAAGAAACUGAACUAUAAUGGACAUGGUGAGGAGUAUGCGAAGUACUUCCAAACUUUCUAAAUCCCUAUGGACUGAAGCUCUUAAAACGGCAAUGUAUAUAUUAAAUCGAAUUUCAACUAAAGCUGUCCCAAAGAUGCCAUUUGAAUUAUAAAAGGGUUGGAAACUGAGUUUGCAACAUAUAUGCGUUUGGAGAUGUCCGUCUGAAGUAAGAGUUUACAACCCACAAGAAAAGAAACUAGACCCAAGGACCAUUAAUGUAUACUUCAUUGGAUAUGCUGAAAGAUCUAAAGGGUACAGAUUUUUUUGUAUAACUCAUAGCACUAGGAUUGUGGAGUCAAGAAAUGCAAAGUUUUUUGAGAAUGACUUGAUUAGUGGGAGUGAUCGAUUCUAGGACAUUGUUUCUGAUAGAAUGAUAUUGAUGCUCGACUUUCCACUUCAAGUGAUAGAUUGAUUGUCGUUCACAAAACCCCUCAAGUUCAAACAGGUGUUGGACAACCAAUCAUUAAAGUUUCACAAGCUGCUGAUGAUAAUUCAGUAGAUCGAGAUGUUCGAAAAUUGCUUGAAAUUGUUGAACAACAUGAUCCUCAGGAAAAUGAUGAUACAACAUUAAGUAGAUCUACUAGAAUAAGGAAAUUGACAAUACCUAGUGAUUAUAUCUACAAGAAUAGGGCUAUAUGUUGGAGUCGAAAAUGAUCCUAAAACAUUUUCAAAAAAAAAAAAAAAAAAUUGGAUGUGAAAACGACAUUUCUCAAUGGAGAUCUAGAGGAAAAGGUUUACAUGAAACAACCAAAAGGAUUUUCCUCUGGUGGUAGUGAGCAUGUGGUGUGCAAGCUUGAGAAAUCUAUACAUGGAUCUUUUCGUCAGUGGUAUUUGAAAUUUCAUGAUGUUAUCUCUUCAUUUGGAUUUGUAGCUAACAUUAUGGAUCAAUGUAUAUACCAAAAGGUCAGUGGGAGUAAGAUUUAUUUUCUUAGUCUAUAUAUGGAUGACAAUUUACUUGCAACCAAUAAAAGGUUUUGCUAUAUGAGGUGAAACAAUUUCUCUCUAAAAUAUUGAGAUGAAAGAUAUGGGUGAUGCAACUUAUUUUAUUGGUAUUAAGAUCCAAAUUGGCAGAUCAUGAGGUAUUUUAGGCCUGUCUCAAGAGACCUAUAUCAAUAAAGUUUUAGAGGAAUUUUGGAUGAAAGAUUGUUCACCAAAUAUAGCUCCCAUUGUGAAGGGUGAUAGGUUCAAUUUGAACCAAUGCCCGAAAAAUGAUUUGAAGGGGAACAAAUUGAAGAACAUUCCUUAUGUUUCUACUGUCAAAAGCCUAAUGUAUGCUCAAGUCUGCAAAAGAUCUGACAUUGCAUUUGCUAUAGGAAUGUUAGGACGAUAUCAAAGUAAUUCAAGUAUGAACCACUAUAGAGUAAUGAAGAAAGUAAUGAGGUACCUUCAAUGGACCAAAAUUACACGCUUAUGUAUAGACGAAUUGAGUUCGUAUAUUGUUUUGAGGCUACCUCGCAUAGUGUAUGGAUGAAGAGUUUCAGUUAUGGGCUUAGAAUCGUGGAUUCAAUCUCUAAGCCAUUGAAGAUAUAUUGUGUAAUUCAGCUGCAAUCUUUAUGGCUAAGAACAACAAAAUGAUAGUCGAAGCAAGUAUAUCGACACAAAGUAUCUAGCCAUAAGGGAACGUGUUAAAAGAGAAAAUAGUGGUCAUUGAACACGUUAAUACUGAAUUAAUGAUUGUUGAUCCUUUGACAAAAGGUAUGCCACCAUUAAAAUUUAAGGAUUAAGUGGAUAAAAUGGGACUUGAUUCCUGUAUGAAAUUUUCGUUAUAAGAACGAACGAUUAAUUUGAUGAAACUCUAUUUGUGACAUUUUCUCAUAUUUGGUUUUCCUUGUGUACACAUUAAUGUUGAGAAAUAUCAUUGAUGUUUGGACCUAGAAUAAACAUAGGGUUUAUUCAUUAAGUUAUAUGGGUUGAUGUUUAAGAGACAUGAUGCAUUGUGAUACAUGGAAGAUAAUACUUGUAUUUAGAGGACCUAUCGCUAUGAUUCAUGUAUUUUUGUUUCUUGAAAGUGAGAAUUGAUGGAUUUUGGAUAUCAUAUCGAGUGAAAUGUAUGGACCAAGUGGGAGAAUAUAAACGUUUUGUAUUUUUAAUGAUCUAUCAUUUCCUUCAUUUAUUGGAUAUUAAACACCAUCUCAUAACCGUCCAUUUUUUCUAACCGUUUAUAUUUCGUAACUCCUUUGAUAGGAAGGAGUUUAUAAAGGGAUGUAGUGGUAUUGGUCCCCAAGUCGAGACUUUCACGAAAUUGCACCGUCACAGAGAGGUCUUGAAGACUUGGAAGAACCAAACACAAUCUGAAAUUUGGUAUUUUGAAGAUCAAUGGUUGGAGGUUCUGUUAUUUAUUUUCCGCAUUUAAUCUAUAUGUUGCUUGUUUAUCCACACAUGAUAGAUCAAGAUAAAGUCUAACAGAAACCAGUUUUUAGAAAAAGUAUGUUGAAUACCCAUAUGACCUUUACAUUAUGUUUGACAAACCCCUCGACCUUUACAAUAUAUUGUGUAAAUUCUACCCCAAAUGAGAUUGUGUUAUGUAAUACACCCUUGACUUUAAUAUAUGUUGUUGAAUACCCUCUUGACAUUUUCAGUUUUGUGAUGACAGGUGGUGUUUGAGAUAAAACUAGCUGAGCAUUUUAUGUGAUCAAACCGGUACAUUAAGCAGAAGGCUAUAGGUUGCGGGAUGUAUGCAAGGGAAAGUGUGAUGUCCAUGGCUGUCGUAUGCAAGGUAAAAUGUGUUAACAAAAUUUUGUAGUAAAAACUUACACUAGCAAUCACACUUGUGCAGUGGUGUACCGGAAAAAAAGGCUUCCAAGUACAUAGCUUACAAAUAUUUGUCUACAUGGAAGGUUAAUCCUAAUAUGUUUGUGUACUUUUUUUGGAUAAAGUAAAAACGGACAAUUUAGGUGAUGUUUCAAAGUGGCAAUAUUAUCAAAAGGUUGAACCCUAACCUUAAGGGUCUCCCAUCGCCCGGCCGCUGGAGCAUCGUGAGAGAGGUUAAUCGCGGGAUGCGCCCCAGCAGGCCAAGGAACAAGAGCUACUUGUGCACUGGUGCCCACAAAGAGUCCCAAUUCUGUUUCAGGAAUCGAACCCUCACACUAUGGCUACCAGUAAGGCUAAGAAUAUCUCACCCUUGUCCUUUGCACACUAGAAUAUGCCCCGGGGCGUAUUAUCAAACCCAAGACAUAGCAAUGAAAAUAAAAAGGGACAAUGUAAUUGACCAAUAUAAAAUAUUGUUGGAUUAUUACGAGCAUUUGAAGCACACAAAAAUAUUGGUACGACUACCCAGUUGGAGGGUCAGGAUGGAGAGUUUAAAAUAUUGUACAUAUGCUUUAGAGCACUGAAGGAGGGUUUCAUCAGUGGAUGUCGGAUGAAUAGGUUAGAUAGUUGCUUUCUGAAAAGUAAGCAUGGAGGACGGUUGUUGAUAGUAUUUUGUGUGGAUGGAAAUAAUGAGAUAUAUCUUAUAGCAUGUGUCGUUGUGGAGAUUGAGAAUGGUGAGAACUGGAGGUGGUUUUUAGAGUUGUCGAGGGAUAGCAAGGGAAUUAUUAACAAUUACAGCUGGAUUUUCAAUCUGAUAAGCAGAUUGGACUUGUAAAUGCUAUUAAGUCGUUUUUUAAGCAUGCGAAGCAUCAUAUCUGUGUGUGACAUCUAUACAACAAUUACUACUGAUUUUAACAAUACUAGUUGGACUAGGCUUUAAAUGCUAUUUUUUCUUUUAUGGAUUCUAACCAAUUUCGUCUCUAUAUGCAAUGUGGCUAAAGAAGCAUAGGACAUAGUUCAAAUUGCUCAUGAAGGAACUUCCAUUAUGAGCCAUCCAAACUUCAAAUGCUCACAUUAGAGUUUGAACAAUUGUCAAUGAGAGAAGAUGAAUAGUUCAGUGAAUUUUAUGCCACACUCAGUGACCACCAAUUUAGCAUAUACUUUGGGGACAAAAUAUUCAAAUAGCAAAAUAGUAAAAAAGAUCCACAUAUCUUUACCUGAUUGAUUUCACUCCAAAGUAACUUCCAUAGAAGAGAGCAAGGAUAUUGAAACCAUAAAGGUUAAAGAAAUGGUGCAUUCAUUGAUCAUAUAUGAGUUGCAAUUCCAUAGAAGAAAAGGAAUUUGGAGUUGCCUUCAAAACCAAAAAUGUUGAAAAAGAUGUUGAGGAUGAGGAAAGUGAAACUGAUGAACACACGGCCUUGCUCACCAAAUAGUUCAAGAAGUUUUUGAAGAACUAUAAAAAAUGAAGGAAUAAAAAAUCUCAACAACUGAAGAAAUAUUCUUUAAUAAUUCAAGGAAAAAUCCACCUACAUCUUUGGAAAGAACUCAAAAUAGUAUGCAAUAUCGUGAGUGUAAAGGAUAUAGAAACAUAGUAUCUAAAUAUGCUAACACAUUGAAAAAGUCCUGUUCAAAGAAAGCCAUAAACAUCUGUUUCGCGCGGGUAGUCGCUAACAAUUAAAAAGGGAUCAGACGAUUGUGUAAGGAACAAACCUCUUGAGACAAAGUCCAAAAAAGGAGUGUUUUAUUUGCAAUGACUUUACAAUUGGAACUAAACAGAAUGCCUCCAAGGGGCGCAAGCACACGAGUACUGAAAAGAAAUGUUUAAGUCUAAACUAAGAAAUUGAAAUUACAUAUUCUCUGUUUGAGAGUGUUUGAUUCGAGGUUUUUUGCUCUAUGUCUUCUCUUCCUUUUAUAUUCCCUUGAUGAUUUCUUCGUAAUUAACCGCUUAGAAACUGCUUGAUUGCUUUAUAACUACCCACUUUCUUUAUGGUGGCUAACUUGUCGUGGAACUGCCGUAUAUAACUGUUGCCACUACUCUUUGUCGUUCUACCGUCUUCAACUAAACUCCUUGAAUCGUGGAACAUGAUAAGGUUACUCGAUAACUGCUUCAAUUACUACACUUCUGGAUAACCAUAACAUCUUAUGUUUGCUAAGAUUCUGGGCGAUUCGAAAGUUUGGGCGAGAACAGGUUCAUAGCUCUGGGCGACUGUAAGGCACUUCAUUCGCUCAGAUCUUGGGCGUCUUGCAAGCUUGGACGAUGAUGUUACUGUGUUCAUGGGCUUCCACUACAUUCAUUAAUAACCCUAUCUGGGCCUUUCUCCUGAAUUGCCCAGUUGGGCUUCAUUCUUUGGGCUAUUUGAUUUGGGGAUUCCUCAAUUGGGCUUCAUUCCCUGAACUAUUCGAUUUGGGCUGCACCUUUAGUGUGUCAACAAUUACCCCCCAAUAUGGCAGAAUUAAUACUAAUUAUUAAUCUUUGCCAUAUUUACUUUGUGUUUUCCAGCAACAUUUGAAAUUCCCAAGAAUUUCAAUCAUUAUUUCCUUCCAUAGCCUGAAAAAGUGCAACGCUACAAACCCUCAUAAACCCCAAAGAGACACCAUUUCAUUGUACCACUAAAUCACGUCUCAUUUCGCGUUUCUUUCUCGCCAUACCAUUGUUCAUCUUCUUGCUUCUCUGCUACGUUUCUCGAGCAAACUUUAACAAAAUUGUAUUUCGUUCCCAAUGGCUGCUCCACAAACCCAAUCUGACGACUCUUGUAGCUUCGACGAUUUUCAGAAAAUCCUCACUCGGCCAUAUGUAAAUUCGAACUUUCUUGCACCAGCCAAUGCCGAACUUAAUGAGUUCUAUCUGGGUCCUUCAUUCACCAAUGCCGAAGUCGUCAAACAAGUGAUGGUGGGCCAGUUGUUUCCUUGUACUCAAGGCCCUCCAUUCCUGAACUCUUUGCCGCUGAGGCCUAUUCGUGAAAAAUGUAUUCGCACUUGGCCUAAAUCUGAUGUUGUUUUUCGUAGAUGGCAUGCUCGCCUUGUGGGCCAUGGUCCUACCAAGGCAAUUUUUGAUCGUGCUAGGAUUUCUGAUUUAUUAGAAAUCUCUUUUCAACCCCCAAUUUUUGACCCAGCACUUUUUCCUAUUGCUUUAAGUUUUUGGUCUUCUGAAUAUAAUACUUUUAUUUUCCCUCUUGGUCCCAUGUCAAACACUUUAAGGGAUGUUGGGGCCCUGAUAAAUCUUCCACCUUUAGGCAACACCAUUUUCCAUGGUAUUUUGAUUUCUAGUGUUGUCCCAAAAUUUGACAAAAAACUCACCGAGUCCUAUUCAAGCUUGCAAAGCUGUCACAAUCACUCAAACGCUGAGCCUUCCCACGCUGAGCGUGUGGCCUUUCUUCAAAUAUGGCUUUGUAAAUAUAUUCUAUCUGUGCCCAGUUUGAAGCCUUCUAUGAGCUAUUUGUCCAUAGCGCACGAAUUGGCGUGUGUAGGCCUUUGAAUUUGUGUUCCUUCUUUUUGGCUGCCCUCUAUAGAGGCAUGACUUCUCUUCAAUUUCAAUUGAAGAAUGGUGCAUCUUUCACUGGCAGUGGGCCUCUUUGGUUCGCUCAACUGUGGUUGAGAGCCUAUUUUCCAUCACUUGGUGCUCUAUCUAUGUCCCUUCAUUCUGCUAGCUGCCAUGGGCUAGCCAUUGACCCAUUGAGCCUUGAAAAAAAAAUAUGUCUAGAAGGGACAUUUUUUCAUUCUUUUAUACUUUAAAUUCAAUUCCUUCCUUCUUUCCUUUUCCUGCUCAUUUAACUCCAGAUUAUGUGCAAUCUCUAUCCACCCUGAACAGUGCGAGUGCCUCUCUGCUCGUUUGGGUUCAGUUUUUGACUGGGAGGGAGUUGUUCUAUGAUAUUUUAACUGGAACCAGUGCCAAAGCUGGGGUUGAAAUAUAUGCUCCCCAAUUUUUUGCUCGCCAACUUGGUUUUGGCUAAACUUGGCCUGUUCCCCCUUGUUAUUCAAAAAAUUUGAUAGACCGCUUUCACACUAUUAAUAAGGUAGAAGCACAAGCUAUAGAUGCUCGCAAUAUUCUUUUGACGAGUAACUUUUCAUUAGCCCCCUUCAAUCAUAGCCGUGAUGUUCACCCCUUUUUGAACAACUCCGGCCAUCAGUGAAGUGCAGAUUGUUUGCAAUUGAUGCCAAUCGUGCUUUCCAUUCACUGGAUCAGCCGAACAUUCCUUCCACUUCUCCUAUUUUGGUCACCCCUGUAUCCAUUAGGAAUCCUUCCUCCCCUGCUCGUGCUAAACAAUCUGUUCGUCCAUCUACUUCUCUAUCUACCAAACAUACUGCAGCUAAGAGCGCCCCAAGCCAUAAACGGUCAGCUUCAGCAUCUCCCAUUUUGGAGGAUGAGGAUGAUGAUGAUGAUGAUGAUGAUGAUACUCCUCUCAUCGUCAGGAGAAAGGUAAUUGAAUUGAAUUCUAUUUACUCACAAGCUUACCUUUCUAUGUGCUAAUGGUUUUCUUGAAUUUCUCAGAAAAGUUCAGCCUCUCCUUUGAAGGCUUUGGUGUUGGUAGCUCCUGCUCCAUCAUCCUCUGCUGGAGCUGCUUCGUCCAAACCAGCUGAUGAAGGGACUACGCUUAAAGAGAAACCUUCAGUCCCGGAACCUUCAUCACAAUCAAUAGACGAGCCACAUUCUUCCCAGGGCACCGACCCCUCCAAACGUCGAACCAGAAGGCAAUACAUUUUUGAUAUUUUACCUUUACUUGUGCUAUUGGUUUCUAAUUUGUUGUUUCUUUAAUCAUACAGAGGCUCCCAUGGGUUUGCCCGCUGUGGCAGAGUCUUCUCGUCCAGAUAAGGGGAAGUCUCCCCUGGUGGUGGGGCCACAGAUGGUGGAGCCAACUGGUGAUAUGCCACCCCCCAAGAUUGCUAAUGAGGUAACCUUUCGCUUCACUUUUAUUUUCACUUUGUUUAUUGCAGUGAAAACCUUCAAUGUUGGCAUUUUUCUUUGUAGGAUGCUGAUGAGAUUGUGCGUUCCAUCUAGGACUUGUUCACUUCCUGGGGGUAAGUCAAGACGUCUCGCUCUGCUUCAACCGGUCAUCCUUCUUCUUCUUCAGAGGAAGAUAUGAAGCUACUCAAGCAGUCGAUAUUUGAGUAUGUAUCUUUUAUGGAUAUGGACAUCGGUCAGGCUAGUACUGCCAAACAUAAGGAUAAACUUGAGCAUUUGAGUGCGAAGUUGGCGCAAGCACUGACACUUCCAUCGCUCAACAUUUCUACUGAUUUUAAAGCGACGUUGAAAGUUGUCCACUCUGACAUCCUCUUUUUGCUGGCCAAAAAUGUUGUACUAAAGGCCAAGAGUACUUAAUAACUUUGCACUGCAUCUGAAAGAGAGUCUUUACUUCGAGAUAUCAACAAAGUUGAGGACGAAUUAAAAGAAAUCUCUUCCGAAGUUAUGAUUGAAGACUCUUUGAGGACCAGUUUGACUAGACAGAUGAAGGAGCUUCAAGCAAGGAUGGAUGACUGCAAGGCGAUAAUGGCUGCUAAAAAGCGUAAUGCUUCCCAAAGAAUUGAGCGAACCAAGUCUUUGGUCGAGCAGCACAAGAAGUUGGAGGUUGAUGAUGAUUUUGUAGCUGAAUUGAAUGUCACUUCUUCUCAGCAGAGCGAGGAUUGGGGGAGACUUAAGGAAAUGAUUCGUUCGGUUUGGGGCGAAUUGUAAUUAAGACAUCUAAUGCUUUAACUUUUCUUUUUGUAAAUUCGUAUUAACUUUCCUCUUGUAACCUCGUACUGAUAGCCAUUGCCAAUUUUGGAUGUAACAGCAGCCAUUGUCAUUAAUGAACAACUGAUUUGUCUUCUUGUGUAUUUAUUGACGUUUGUCCUUAAUCGUCAACCCCCCAAGCAUUUAACUGCUUUAUGAUAAGAUUCAUGUACAUUCUUUUUUGGUAUUUCUAUCUCUUUUCCCAAGACUUUGGGCCCUUUGACUCCAAUUACUAGGCACGAAUGUGACUGUUCAUAUUCUGUCUCUUCACCUUCACGCCCCUAUAAAUGCACGUAUAUUUCGCACUUUUCAUUUUCAUUUCCAUUCUUUUCUUCAAAAACUAAUUUGCUGUCAUUGUUUGGCAUCUCAACUAUCGAUCCAAAAUUUACGUCUUCCAUAGAAAUGGAUCAUUUGAUCCGCCCAUUUUGCCACCUGUUUUGAUGUCACCUUUGGUAUGGGAGAUUUAGGAAAUAUUCUUUGGCCAGCAAAGUUCUUCCCAUUGUCUCCAUGUUCUUUACAAGGAGUUUAGUGAUGGAAGGUAAUUUUUGAGGAUGCCUGUCAAGCCACCUUGCUUGCUGAGAGUGCUUCUCAGUCUCCUUGCCCGUUAUUGCAGCGAUGCAUUUAGGUAAGCGAGGUGAGGGUGCUUCACUUUCCUUCUGCUUGCUGAGAGUGCUUCUCGGCCUCUCUGCUUGCCUUUAUAGCAGUGCGAUCAGGAUGGAAAUCAAGGCCAAUUCACCCUCUUACUUGGCGAUCGACUGGGAGAUUAGUUCGCUCUUAAUUGUAGCUUAUAGAGAAUUUAGUAUUUUGUAUCUUGCAACUUUGUAAUGAAUGUUUGAUAUAAAGGAAUUUAUUUGAACGUAUUUCGCUCUGGCCCCUUUUUUUUUUUUUUAUCUAUGAUCGUUCAACGCGAUUUGAUUACGCUUUUAUUUGUUCACUUUCCCAUAAGGAAGGAACAUAUUUUUUUUAAAUAUUUGCCAUUAAUGAACCUCAUGUGCUUGGUGCCAUCUAAAUCUUCCAAAUGAUAAACUCCAUUAGGCAACACACUAUUUACUUUAUAUAGUCCUUCCCAAUUGAGCGACCACUUGCCAUACUUUGGAUCCUUGCUAUCCAAAGGGAGUAUUGUUUUCCAAACCAAUUCGCCCAGGCUGAACGACUUGGCUAUAACUUUUUUAUUAUAAAACUUAUCUAUCCUUCGUUUUUGAACUUGCAAUCUAUCUAGGACGUCCAACUCCAAUAAGUUUUGAACUAGUGAUUCGGUAUACUCAUCAUCACUUAACUUAUGUUGUAAACACACUCUGAUCGAUUACACAUUGAUUUUCAUAGGCAAAACGGCCUCCUGUCCAUAAGUAAGUUGGAAAGGAGUAAUUAUGGUACUUGACUGAGGCGAUGUCCUAUAAGCCUAUAAGGACUUGUUUAGACAUUCGUGCCAAUUUCUGAUAUUUUCAUCUAUCAUUUUCCUUAUGAUAUUUUUAAGAAUCUUAUUAGAAGAUUCUGCUUGUCCGUUGAAUUGAGCGUAAUAUGGUGUGGAGUUUACUAAUUUAACUCCAAACUCGCUCAAGAAUUUAUUCACUUGAUCUCCAUUUAAAGAAGUUCCGUGAUCUACCAUCAAAGUUUGUGGAAUUCCAAAUCUAUAAAUAAUAUGAUCACAGAUAAAUUCUAUAACACUCUUUUGGGUGAUCUCCUUUAAAGGUAUCGCUUCUACCCACUUAGUGAAAUAAUCAGUUGCAACUAUAACAAAGGUAUGUUGCUUGGACGAUGGGAGAUAAACCUUCCCUAUCAGGUCUAUCACCCAACCCUUAAACGGCCAAUGUUUGCUAAUAGGUGCCGUCUCUCGUGCUGGCGCCCUUUGUAUUGGACCAUUCUUUUGGCAUGCUAGACAACUCUUUGUAUACUGAACUCAUGAUUCUCCGAUCUUUGGCCAAAAAUAUCCCUUCCUAAUACCUAACCAUCUCAUCCUUUGGCCAGUUUGAUGAGCUCCACAUAUCCUUUCGUGCAUUUCAGCCAUGAUCGUCGUGACUUCUUGCAAACUUACAUAUUUUAACAAUAUGCCAUCAGAGCGUUUCUUAAACAACUCUUCAUCUAUCAAUGCAUAGUUUAGCAAACGCAACUUCAUUUUUCUACUAUUUCCUUUAUUAGGUUCUUUAAGAAACCUUUUAAUCUCUGCCCUCCAAUCUAUUGUAUCUCCAUCUUGUAUGCAAUGAAUUUCAAUCGUUCUAGCCCUUCUUUAGACCACGGGCAAUAUUAUUCCAUACUCAUAAAUAGACUUCCAAUUUAAAACUUUCAAGUACCCUGAGGCCGUGUGGGCCAACUCAUUUGCCACGUCAUUAUAUAUCCUAUUAACGCAUUGAAACUCUAUUUGGUCAAAUUCUUCCAACAACUCUUGGGCGAUUUCAUAUAGACUUAAAAUGGAAUCACUUUGGCACUUAAAAUCACCAAUCAAUUGGUAAAUGACCAAUUGAGAAUCGCCUCUAACGAUCACAUUCUUUACUUCCAUAUCUAUCAUUAAUUCUAGGCCCACGAUUAAGGCUUCAUAUUCGGCUUGAUUGUUGGUGCACAUUCUAUCCAAAGUGAACGCGAACUUGUAGCAAAUCCCUAAAGGAUUUAUCAAUGCUACUCCUAUUCCUGCACCUUUAGAGGUUUUUGACCCAUUGAAAUACAAAACCCAAGGUUUUAAUUCGAAUGAAUUGAUUUCUAAUUCAAUUUCUUCAGGCAUGGAUGAUCGAUCAGAAAGUUAGCCAAAGCCUGAUUUUUUAUUGUCUUUUGGGGUAUGUAUUGUAUUUCGAAUUCUGAUAAUGCUAACGUCCAAAGGCCUAUCCUUUGGUGUAAAAUAGAGCGAGAGAACAUAUACUUAACCAAAUUUACUUUGAAAAUCAAAUAAACGGUUACGGGCCGUAAAUAAGCCCUUAAUUUUGUACAUGUGAAAUACAAUGCAAGACAUAAUUUUUCAAUGGCAGAGUAAUUACAUUCAUAUUUUGUUAACCGUCUACUCAAGUAGUAAAUCGCCCUUUCUUCACCAAAUUGGUCUUCUUGCGCGACCAUUUCAGCUAUUGAUUCGUUUUCAGUCGAUACAUACGCUUUCAUUGGCCGUCCUUGGAUUGGUGAGACCAACACUGGUGGACUUGAUAAAUAUAUCUUUAGGCUUUCGAAAGCCUUUUGAUGCUCUUCUUUCCAGACGAAUUCGUCCUGAUUUUUCAACUUUAAAAGCAGCAAAAAAGCUUUAGUUCGCCCUGCACAGUUAGAAAUAAAGCGUCUGAAAAAGUUUACUUGGCCUAAAAAUCUUUGCAAUUCUUUUUUGUUGCUAGGUGGUUUGGCCUCUAAAAUGGCCUUCACUUUAUUUUUAUCAAGUUCAAUUCCCCUUUUGUGUACUAAGAAACCAAGGAAGUUUCCUGCAUUAACACCAAAUGCACAUUUCAAGGGAUUCAAUUUUAGUUUAUAUUACUUUAUUCGUUCAAAUGAACAUCUCAAUUGUUCAAAAUGCUCAUCUUCUUUAAUGGAUUUGACCACUAUAUCAUCUACAUACACUUCAACAAACUUGCCUAUCAUAUCAUGAAAAAUCAGGUUCAUCGCCCUUUGAUAAGUUGCUCCUGUAGGAAAGGCAUAACUACCCAUUCAAAACAUCCUAGAGACCCAGGGCAUCUAAAGGCAGUUUUGUGUAUAUCUUCCUCAGCUAUAUAAAUUUGAUUGUAUCCUGAAUACCCAUCCAUGAAGGAAUACAUUACGUGUCCGACAGUUGAGUCUACUAAAGAGUCUACUGUGGGCAUUGGAUGUUCAUCUUUGGGUGUGGCUAUGUUUAAAUUCCUAAAAUCUAUACACACCCUUAAUCCACCAUUCUUUUUUAGCACUGACACGAUAUUGGACAACCAAUUCACAUAUCUGGCUGUUCUAAUAAAGCCUGCUUUUAAUAAUCGCUCUAUUUCUUUUUUAAUCUUAGGAAGUACAUUAGGAGCAAAACGCCUAGGAGUUUGCUUAUGAGGCUUAAAAUUUAGCUUGGUUGGCAACCUAUGUUCCACCAAAUCUCUAUCUAAACCAGGCAUAUGUUCAUAUUCCCAAGCAAAACAAUCUUUAUAUUCCUAUAAUAAAGCGAUUAAUUUAUCACUAACCUCUUGAUCGAGCAUUUGGUUGAUGAAUAUUGGGCGAUCUUCUCUUUCAUUGCCAAUAUUCACUUUAAUCAGAGGGUCUUAUGUUUGAGUGUAUCCAGGCUUGGCGAUCCUUAUCAUUUCAUCGUCCAAUUCCUUUGUAGGCACUUCUUCUUCUAAACAAUCCACCUUGUUGACUUCUCGGCCAAUACUUUGUUCCAACUCGAACACUGCCAAUUUAUCUCUCAUUGCUUUCAAGGCUGCUUCUUCUUUCGUCUUGUCCUUGCAUUCUUUAUUGAAAGCCAUUAAUUUGGUUUUGAAGGCCUGAAUAUCGGCCAUUUGCCUUUGUUGCUUACAACAUUUAAAAUUCCUUGAUUACUCUUUUGCCAAUUACUAGCUCUUCUAGGGCCACUAUGUUUGGCCUCAUCUGACUGAACAUUUUAGUGAGUGCAUCCACCGAAAACGGCUCUUCACUCUUCGCGACAAUUUGAGUUUCUUCUCCAUCUUGGACUACUCUGACAGGUCCAUAAUUUCCUUCGUACAUGAACCUUUCUACUGAGUUUGCUUCUGCGACAAAAGGUCUAUGAUCGACCUGCACCACUUCUGCUUCGCCUUUGUCAUUCCGAAAAACCAGGCAUUGAUGGAGCGAUGAGGGUAUACAGUGACUUCCGUGUAUCCAAUCCCUUCCUAAUAACACAUUGUAACUAGUAGGACCAUCUAUUACAAAGAAGACUGUGGUCCUAGUAGUUGUCCCUAUAGUUAUGUCCAAUGGCAUAACCCCUUUAGCUGAAGUUGUUCCUCCAUUGAAACUUGUAAGGACGACUUUUGUUGGGAUCUUAUUGUUUUCUGUCUUUGCAAAUUUCCUCAUCAUCUUAGAUGAAAUGGUGUCUAUAGCUGUUCCAUUGUCGACAAGCACUUUUGCCACAGGUAUGCCGUUAACUAGAGCUUUAACGUACAAUGGCCUCAAGUGUUUAGUUAACUUCAUGGCUGGCUGCUUAAAAUAACCUUUUCGACAAUAUCUAUUUCUACUUCCUGCUUGUCCUCUGUCGAAUUAUCCUUUUGUGAUAAGUCAAUGUGUAGCAUGUCGUACUGAGCUUUCGUUUCCUUUUACUGUUUUCUAAUGCUUCUUCUUCAGUUACCCAACCUGUGGGAGGAGGCAUUAUUCUUGGAGGUGAUCCAUAUUUUUCAGAGCGAGGAACUCUCUUUUUCCUUUUGGGCGUCCCGUACAGCACGUAAUAAUCGAAAGAACGCCCAAACGGCUCCCUCAACAAGUCCACUUCACGAACCCCCUCUCAAUGUAGUUGCUUCAACAAAAUAUUGUACGAUACUCCUCUUUUUCUUCUUUCUGCUUCCAAAUCAAUUUCCUUUUCGAUAUCCGUCAUACCAUCAUCUUCUUCAUCAUCGUAGGCCCCUCUAGAAGUUUGGCCUUCUUCAUAUUCCAGCACGCAUGCUUCUUCUUCAUUAUCCUCUCUCUCAUCUUCUUCUUUCUCUUUAUUCUUGAACUCAUUGGCUAGCAAAUAAUUAUUAGCCAUGACAGGAGGUAACGUACCGAACUGAAUAGUAAUGGACUGAUUUGAAUCUUCUCCAUCUCUUCUGUCUCACUCAAACUUCGACCUCCCAGAAGAACUUUCUGGCAAUUCUUUCAUCGAUUCAUCUGUAUCGGUCUCCACACUGUCUUCGAGAAUAUUUUGAUUGGCCACCUCGAGCAGCUUAGGCGCCUUAGGACGUGGCAUUCCCUGUUGUUGCCUCAUCAUUCGUCCAUAGUUCCAUUGAAAACGUCUUUGCUGGGUUCUAGUCAUCUCGUUGAAGGAUAUCGCCCUUCUUGCAUUAUACUGGAAUGAAUGCCAUACAUUUGGUUGAUGAGGCUACAGCCUGAAUGUUCUCCCAUUAUUCACUGGCCUGAACUGCCUCUCAAAAGGCGGUCCCCUAUAGAACGACGUACCUCACCCUUUACCGGGCUGAGCGUGUGGAAAAAAAUUAGGGCGACGGUGAUGCUGCCAUAUCCCUGGUUUCUCUGUAUUCCCACUCACUUUUCUUUUACAUCUUGCACGCAGGACGUCUUCAUCCUUUUCAGGCUCUUUCCCUUUGAUACAUUCAAAGACACUGGGAUGUGGUCCAGGGUCCUCUUCUCCGUCAUCUAUAACUAACUUGAAUUUUGGCAACUUAUUUUUAAAAUCAGUCGUCACCAUGUUCACCCCAAGUGGCUGUGGAAAAGGAUUUUCAUUCACUGUCAUCUUCCUCUUAUCCUCGAACGUAAUUCGUCCUGAUUCAAUGGCAUCCUGUAACACAUGGCCAAAAACCAAACAGUUAUUAGUCAAAUGUAACCAUGCAUUAUGCCACAUACAAUAUUUUUUACCCUUAACUUGUUCAGGGCUUGACAAUUUAUUAUCGCUCAACUUUAUCUGCUUAUCCUUAUAUAGUUUAUCAAAUAUAAGGUCAGCUUUGGUUACAUCGAACGAGAACGUUCUAACCUUUUUAUUUUCAUCUUUUAAAGGCUCAUCCUUGCCCGACGGUCUAGGCUUAGCCAUUAUAGGACAAGUAUACGUGUCUCCUUUGAUUAGUUCGGCCAAACACAUUUCGGUUUGAUCGUAAUACUCGUCAUUAAUGGUAUGAACAUCAAAAUUUGGGUCUCUAUAAUAAGUCCCUUUACUAGAAUUUUUCAUUUGCUCUUCUUCUCUUAUUAAUCGUUCAUACCUAAUCAUGUUCGCGCUCAAUUGGAAAAGAUCAAGAAAUUCCUUGUCUUGGAACUUCUUUUUCAAAUCAAAGCUUGGACAAUUUUGAGCGAUUUUGACAAACUCCUUUUCGGGCAAAGGUACAAAACAUUUACUUAUCGCUGUCUUGAACCUUUGAAGGAAACCUUCUGCCCAUUCGUUUGGCAUUUGAUGUAGAUUCAUCAAAUCGACCAAAGUAACUUCUGACUCAGUCUUACAAAACUGAGCAUGGAACAAUUGCUCCAAUUGUUGUCAUGUUUGAACAGAGUUCGCUGGCAAAUUGAUGAACCAGAAGAAAGCUACUCCUGUUAAUGAACUAGGGAACAACCUCAUUUUAUGGUAAUCAGUUACGUCACCACUUUGCAGUGUGAAUCCCCCUAUGUGUUCUAGAGUAGACACCUCUCCUAAAUCAGUAAAUAGUGAGAAUUCUGGCACUUUAUACCCUCUACGCCAUGGAUAUACUUGGUCUACCCAAUCAGGGUAUGGCUUUGUGUAAGUCGGCCUAAUGACAGGACGUACCCCAAAAGCCAUCUGAUCUUGUACUAUUUCCAUAAUUUGAUUCCUCAACAUAACGUUGGGGUCGUGGAAUUCCUACAGGUUGGUUAACCGGUUGAUUUCCUUGAGGCCUGAUAUUUGGUCCUUGGUUGGCAACAAAGUUGCCAUGAUUUGGGCCAUUGUUACUAUUAGCAUGAAUAUUUACUCUAUCAUUAAUACGUGGGACAUUCUGUCCAUUAUUUAGGAUAUUGUCUCUUACGUUUAAGUUACCCCCCAAGUUAGAUGUACCAUUGCCACCAUUCUGAUUUGGCAUUACACCAUCCCCCUGAUUUGAAGUAGAGGGACCAAAAGGUGAUUCUACCCCUUGAUUUGGACUUAGGAUUGGGGAAUUAUGUCCCACAAUUGUCCUAGUUUGGAAGUGAUUUGUAAGAGGCACGACUGGUUGACAAAUUUGGCCUACUAACUUAUUCAUUAUAUCAUUCAAAGUAUUCAGUUGUUUGGCCAUGUUAUCAUAAUGUGCAUUCCCAUUCUGAGUAAGUCUUUCCAUAUUAUGAAUAUUUCAUAGAUGAACCUGUUCAACGACAUCCUGUGUGAGUUCUCAAAGUAAUGCACGCAUAGUUCGAGAACUCAACUCUGUCAUUGGUUCAUAAUGACUAUGACUGCUCUGAUUCUGUCCAUCUGUUCGUGGAGAGCUAUGCUACACCUCAUAUCGUUUGAUCACAGACUGGAUUCCUCCCUGACUUGCUUCCUUAUCAAAUUUCUGAGGCAUAUUGUUUCACCUUUUGUAUCUCCAACACCAAACACCAAGGUCCCACUGGGCGUGCUAAAUUGUUUCGCGCGGGUAGUCGCUAACAAUUAAAAAGGGAUCAGACGAUUGUGUAAGGAACAAACCUCUUGAGAUAAAGUCCCAAAAGGGGUAUUUUAUUAGCGAUGACAUUACAAUUGGAACUAAACAGAAUGCCUCUAAGGGGCACAAGCAUAUGAGUACUGAAAAGAAAUAUUUAAGUCUAAACUAAGAAAUUGAAAUUACAUAUUCUCUGUUUGAGAGUGUUUGAUUCGGGGUUUUUUGUUCUAUGUCUUCUCUUUCUUUUAUAUUCCCUUGAUGAUUUCUUCAUGAUUAACCACUUAGAAACUGCUUGAUUGCUUUAUAACUACCCACUUUCUUUAUGGUGGCUAACUUGUCGUGGAACUCUCGACUCUAACUGUUGCCACUACUCUUUGUCGUUCAACUGUCUUCAACUGAACUCCUUGAAUCGUGGAACGUGAUAAGGUUGCUCGAUAACUGCUUUAAUAACUGCACUUCUGGAUAACCAUAACAUCUUAUGUUUGCUAAGAUUCUGGGCGAUUCGAAGGCUUGGGUGAGAAUAGGGUCAUAGCUCUGGGCGACUGUAAGGCACUUCAUUCACUCAGAUUUUGGGCGUCUUGCAAGCUUGGGUGAUGAUAUUACUGUAUUCGUGGGCUUCCACUACAUUCAUUAAUAACCCUAUUUGGGCCUUUAUCCUGAAUUGUCCAGUUGGGUUUCAUUUUUUGGGCUAUUUGAUUUGGGGAUUCCUCAAUUGGGCUUCAUUCCCUGGACUAUUCGAUUUGGGCUGCACCUUUAGUGUGUCAACAACAUCAUAUGGAGUGAAGACGAUGAAAGAGAAUCAAAUUCAGAUGAGGACAGAACUGAUAAUAAUUGGGUAACCCCUUUUACCGUCAACCUACAGUCUGAUUUUGACUCUUUAUAAAUGUCGCCUAUAGGUACAGACUCAUUGGUUAGAGACAUAGCAGGACCAAGUAGCACAUGUUCAGAGUGCACUGGCCUGAAAGAAAAUCAGUAUUGAACAAGAAAAGAAUAUCACUCAUCAUGCAAUGAUGGAGUUCAUUAAAGAAGAGAGGGUUGCAGUUGGUGUUAAAAAGGAAACUCUAACCAAACUCUUAAAAGAGAAGGAUAAUCAAGUCAUCGGGCUCCUUAUUGAACUAAAUCACACCAAGGAAAUAGUUAACCAACUAUCAUCGGAUCCACUCACCUAUGUGAAGUCCUUAGCUAUGGAAAAACAUCGAGUAUCAAAGAGAGGUAGGCUAUGAAGGAAAAAACGAAAGAAAAAUGAAUCUAAUCAGUUAAAGUUUGUCAAAACUACCUAUGUGGUAGCUUGACAAGUUAGAUUUUUGAUAGAAUAUUACAAGUUGCAGCUAAUGAGUUAGACAAAACUAUUGACGCAAAGUUGUAGCAGAAUCUAACUUACAUAAGUAGGUUCUAACCAACUCCAAAACCUUGAUUCAAAAUAAUCCAUCAAGUAAACUGAUGCGAACCCCGCAGCAAUGAAAACUACAAAACCCACAACAAGAUUGAUGCGGAACCCAAGAACGCCAAUACUAACCCGGUUUUAGAUCUUGAACCCCAAGAAUUGAACCAAGAAACCCUAAAUUAGCGAAGAACCUAAAACCCCUUGAUUACAAUUAAAAGAACCCACAAUCCGAUUGUUUAGAACGCCACAAGAAAUUGAAUCUUAAUAAGUUCCAAAAUUGUUCAAGAAGAAUAAGAAAUUGAAAGAACAAAUUCUCUCUCUAUAAUAUUAUUCAAGCAAAAGGUCAAAAGUCUUUACAAUGAAAAGUAUUAUCCUAUUUAUACUAAUGAGUAAAACGUCCAAAAUCUAUCAAAUUAUGGUAAUAAUUUGAUUUUAUAAGAAUUCUAUCGAAACUAGAAAAUUCGGCCAAAAUUGGAAACUUCGCCAAUUUUUUUGGCUUGUGCGGCCGCAUGGUGUAUUUCCAUGCGAUCGCAUGGUUCAACAAGAAAUGCAAUUUUUAUUUUCGGUAUGCCACCAUGUGACCGCAUGGUGUUUUGCCUGUGCGGCCGCACAGGCUUGUUUUCAGCCUCCGAUUUCGUCGCUUGAUAACAAAUUGAUCCAAAUUGAUUCGAUCUUCGACCCGAACAUGAGAGUUGCUCCAUUUUGAGUCCCGAGCAUGGUUCCAUCAAUGGUUUCUUGAACGAGCAAUCUCAUCUCUUGUUUCACUUGCUUUGCCCUUGAUCGCGUCAUUAGUCCGCCAUCGACUAUCAACGGGUCUCGUCUCGCACUUGCCUUCGUCNNNNNNNNNNNNNNNNNNNNNNNNNNNNNNNNNNNNNNNNNNNNNNNNNNNNNNNNNNNNNNNNNNNNNNNNNNNNNNNNNNNNNNNNNNNNNNNNNNNNNNNNNNNNNNNNNNNNNNNNNNNNNNNNNNNNNNNNNNNNNNNNNNNNNNNNNNNNNNNNNNNNNNNNNNNNNNNNNNNNNNNNNNNNNNNNNNNNNNNNNNNNNNNNNNNNNNNNNNNNNNNNNNNNNNNNNNNNNNNNNNNNNNNNNNNNNNNNNNNNNNNNNNNNNNNNNNNNNNNNNNNNNNNNNNNNNNNNNNNNNNNNNNNNNNNNNNNNNNNNNNNNNNNNNNNNNNNNNNNNNNNNNNNNNNNNNNNNNNNNNNNNNNNNNNNNNNNNNNNNNNNNNNNNNNNNNNNNNNNNNNNNNNNNNNNNNNNNNNNNNNNNNNNNNNNNNNNNNNNNNNNNNNNNNNNNNNNNNNNNNNNNNNNNNNNNNNNNNNNNNNNNNNNNNNNNNNNNNNNNNNNNNNNNNNNNNNNNNNNNNNNNNNNNNNNNNNNNNNNNNNNNNNNNNNNNNNNNNNNNNNNNNNNNNNNNNNNNNNNNNNNNNNNNNNNNNNNNNNNNNNNNNNNNNNNNNNNNNNNNNNNNNNNNNNNNNNNNNNNNNNNNNNNNNNNNNNNNNNNNNNNNNNNNNNNNNNNNNNNNNNNNNNNNNNNNNNNNNNNNNNNNNNNNNNNNNNNNNNNNNNNNNNNNNNNNNNNNNNNNNNNNNNNNNNNNNNNNNNNNNNNNNNNNNNNNNNNNNNNNNNNNNNNNNNNNNNNNNNNNNNNNNNNNNNNNNNNNNNNNNNNNNNNNNNNNNNNNNNNNNNNNNNNNNNNNNNNNNNNNNNNNNNNNNNNNNNNNNNNNNNNNNNNNNNNNNNNNNNNNNNNNNNNNNNNNNNNNNNNNNNNNNNNNNNNNNNNNNNNNNNNNNNNNNNNNNNNNNNNNNNNNNNNNNNNNNNNNNNNNNNNNNNNNNNNNNNNNNNNNNNNNNNNNNNNNNNNNNNNNNNNNNNNNNNNNNNNNNNNNNNNNNNNNNNNNNNNNNNNNNNNNNNNNNNNNNNNNNNNNNNNNNNNNNNNNUUAGAAGUCUUUGACUUGAGAAAAUACUGUUUCAAAUAUGUUAAACCUAAGAUAUUGACGUUUAAAAAAAUUGUUAUCUGAUAAUAUUUACUCAAUUGGAGAUGGCCACGUGUGUUUUGGAUUGGUACAAUCAAAAUUCUUUUAUAACUAGAAAAUAGAUACAAUCCCAAUAUCAUUAGGUAGAUACUGUAAAAUUAGUUAGUUUUGUAGCAGGAUAGGACACGUACAAAGCCAAAUCAUUGCCCACUUUCAAUAGAAAACUCAUUUUAUCCAAUUUUUAUUCUAUAAAGUACAACCUAUUCUUACCUAAAGUCUACUUUGAUACCAAUUUUAAUUCAAUUUCUAGCCAUGCAUGGUUCCCUACUACACACAACUCUAUAUAGGCUAAGCAAUGGUUAUCUAGCCCCCGUUUCAGCCCCUUUAAUUAUCAUUACAUUACAUUUCAUUUUUCUCUCUUCUAUUUUUAACUUCACAAUCUUCUAUAAAAUAAUAUUAUACGUAAAUCGACAAUUUUUCCUUCUUUUUCAACCACUCAUUUUUAAAAAAAAAAAACUAUUCCACUCAUUAAUUUUUCCAUGUAAUGGGGGCCAAAUAGAGGCAUAGCCAAAAUUUAUUAUAGGACAUGAUGGUAGAACUUUUGCACCCAAAAUUUAUUAUAUGCAUACACGGUAACAGAGAGAGUUCAAGCACAGAGAAAGAAGCAUAAAGAAGAGUUUCACAAGUAUUAUUUUUACCUUUUUUUUUUUUUUUUUACAACCUUCUAAUAAACGAGGUAAGAUACUUUUAUGCUAGUGUUUUGUUUCCGUAUACAUUUAUAUAUUCAAUUAAAUAUGAGUAAAUUGUCAAUAGAUCUUCGGGUUCUUGAUAAAGAGAGAUGAAAUUCUUUAGGAAUUUAAGAGGAUCUAAGAUUGAUAUGUUGUUUGGUCACCAAUAUACUCAAUAAAAGAAGAGUAGUAUGAAGUGUUUAUUUAUUGUUAUAUAAUUGUGUAUGAAACUGCACACAUCUUAGUGAGUAUUAUUAAAUAUUCACUCUUACAAUAGUGUUACAAGUUAGUGCAGAUCGAUUGAAUCUGUAGCAGAAUGGUGAUGCGGG
rnacentral:lncRNA from 1 species